GAUGAACGCUAGCGGCAGGCUUAAUACAUGCAAGUCGUGGGGCAGCGCAGUGUAGCAAUACAUGGGCGGCGACCGGCAAACGGGUGCGUAACACGUACGCAACCUUCCCGUUACUGGGGAAUAGCCCAGGGAAACUUGGAUUAAUACCCCAUAUUAUAUUGAUUGGGCAUCUAAUUAAUAUCAAAGCUUCGGCGGUAACGGAUGGGCGUGCGGUUGAUUAGGUAGUUGGCGGGGUAACGGCCCACCAAGCCUACGAUCAAUAGCUGAUGUGAGAGCGAGAUCAGCCAAACGGGCACUGAGACACGGGCCCGACUCCUACGGGAGGCAGCAGUAAGGAAUAUUGGGCAAUGGACGAAAGUCUGACCCAGCCAUGCCGCGUGGAGGAUGAAGGUCCUCUGGAUUGUAAACUUCUUUUUUCUGGGGCGAAAACCGGUUUUUCUAAACCAUUUGACAGUACCAGAAGAAUAAGCACCGGCUAACUCCGUGCCAGCCGCCGCCGUAAUAC
rnacentral:rRNA from 1 species